rnacentral:snRNA from 1 species
GUGCUCACUUUGGCAGCACCUGUGCUAAAAUUGGAAUGAUACAGAGAAGAUUAGCAUGGCCCCAGCGCAAGGAUAACACACAAAU